rnacentral:rRNA from 1 species
CAGCCGCCGCGGUAACACGAAGGGUGCAAGCGUUACUCGGAAUUACUGGGCGUAAAGCGUGUGUAGGUGGUUGUUUAAGUCUGUUGUGAAAGCCCUGGGCUCAACCUGGGAAUUGCGAUGGAUACUGGGCGACUAGAGUGCGGUAGAGGAUAGUGGAAUUUCCGGUGUAGCAGUGAAAUGCGUAGAGAUCGGAAGGAACAUCUGUGGCGAAGGCGACUAUCUGGGCCAACACUGACACUGAGACACGAAAGCGUGGGGAGCAAACAGGAUUAGAUACCCGCGUAGUCCCUGUCUCUUAUAA